rnacentral:rRNA from 1 species
GACGAACGCUGGCGGUGUGCUUCACACAUGCAAGUCGAACGAGGUAGCAAUACCUAGUGGCGGACGGGUGAGUAACGCGUGGGAAUCUGCCUUUAGAUGGGGGAUAACGGGUCGAAAGACUCGCUAAUACCGCAUAUGACGAAAGUUGAAAGGAGUAAUCCGUCUAAAGAUGAGCCCGCGUCCGAUUAGCUAGUUGGUAGAGUAAAAGCCUACCAAGGCGACGAUCGGUAGCUGGUCUGAGAGGACGACCAGCCACACUGGGACUGAGACACGGCCCAGACUCCUACGGGAGGCAGCAGUGGGGAAUUUUGGACAAUGGGCGCAAGCCUGAUCCAGCAAUGCCGCGUGCAGGAGAAGGCCUUCGGGUUGUAAACUGCUUUUGUCAGGGAAGAAAUCUUCUGGGCUAAUACCCCGGGAGGAUGACGGUACCUGAAGAAUAAGCACCGGCUAACUACGUGCCAGCAGCCCGGUAAUCUAGUCUACG